GAUGAACGCUGGCGGCGUGCCUAAUACAUGCAAGUCGAGCGAACAGAUGAGGAGCUUGCUCCUCUGACGUUAGCGGCGGACGGGUGAGUAACACGUGGAUAACCUACCUAUAAGACUGGGAUAACUUCGGGAAACCGGAGCUAAUACCGGAUAAUAUAUUGAACCGCAUGGUUCAAUAGUGAAAGACGGUUUUGCUGUCACUUAUAGAUGGAUCCGCGCCGCAUUAGCUAGUUGGUAAGGUAACGGCUUACCAAGGCAACGAUGCGUAGCCGACCUGAGAGGGUGAACGGCCACACUGGAACUGAGACACGGUCCAGACUCCUACGGGAGGCAGCAGUAGGGAAUCUUCCGCAAUGGGCGAAAGCCUGACGGAGCAACGCCGCGUGAGUGAUGAAGGUCUUCGGAUCGUAAAACUCUGUUAUUAGGGAAGAACAAAUGUGUAAGUAACUAUGCACGUCUUGACGGUACCUAAUCAGAAAGCCACGGCUAACUACGU
rnacentral:rRNA from 1 species